rnacentral:rRNA from 1 species
AAAAACAUGGCCUUUUGAUUAAAAUUUAAGGUCUAGCCUGCUCAAUGAGUUUUAAAUAGCCGCAGUAUCUUAACUGUGCAAAGGUAGCAUAAUAAUUAGUUUUUUAAUUGAAAGCUUGAAUGAAGGGUUGAAUGAGAAAAUAGCUGUCUCUGUAAAAAUUUUUUAGAACUUUAUUUUUAAGUAAAAAAGCUUAAAUUUUAAUAAAAGACGAGAAGACCCUAUAGAGUUUUAUAUUUAUAUAAAAUAUUUUUUUGUUUUAGUAUUUUAAAAAAUUUAUUUUAUUAUAAUAUUUAGUUGGGAAGAUUGGAAAAUUUACAGAACUUUUCUUUAAAAUAUCAUUUAUUUAUGAAAAUAUGAUCCUUUUAUAAAGAUUAUAAGAUAAAAUUACCUUAGGGAUAACAGCGUAAUUUUUUUUGAGAGUUCUUAUCGAAAAAAAAGAUUGCGACCUCGAUGUUGGAUUAAAAUAAAUUUUUGGUGUAGAAGCUAAAUUAAUUGGGUCUGUUCGACCCUUAAAAUUUUACUUGAUCUGAGUU